rnacentral:rRNA from 1 species
GAUGAACGCUGGCGGUGUGCCUAAUACAUGCAAGUCGAGCGAACGGACGAGAAGCUUGCUUUUCUGAUGUUAGCGGCGGACGGGUGAGUAACACGUGGAUAACCUUCCUCUUAGACUGGGAUAACUUCGGGAAACCGGUGAUAAUACCGGAUAAUAUUUUGAACGGCAUGGAUCAAAAGUGAAAGACGGUCUUGCUGUCACUUAUAGAUGGAUCCGCGCUGCAUUAGCUAGUUGGUAAGGUAACGGCUUACCAAGGCAACGAUGCAUAGCCGACCUGAGAGGGUGAUCAGCCACACUGGAACUGAGACACGGUCCAGACUCCUACGGGAGGCAGCAGUAGGGAAUCUUCCGCAAUGGGCGAAAGCCUGACGGAGCAACGCCGCGUGAGUGAUGAAGGUCUUCGGAUCGUAAAACUCUGUUAUUAGGGAAGAACAUAUGUGUAAGUAACUGUGCACAUCUUGACGGUACCUAAUCAGAAAGCCACGGCUAACUACGUG